GAUGAACGCUGGCGGCGUGCUUAACACAUGCAAGUCGAGCGGAGCACAUCGUUGGAAUCCUUCGGGAGGAAGAGGAUGUGGCUUAGCGGCGGACGGGUGAGUAACGCGUGGACAACCUGCCCUAUGCAGGGGGAUAACAUCCGGAAACGGGUGCUAAUACCGCAUAAGCGCACAGUACCGCAUGGUACAGUGUGAAAAGCUGAGGCGGCAUAGGAUGGGUCCGCGUUGGAUUAGGCAGUUGGCGGGGUAACGGCCCACCAAACCGACGAUCCAUAGCCGGCCUGAGAGGGUGGACGGCCACAUUGGGACUGAGACACGGCCCAGACUCCUACGGGAGGCAGCAGUGGGGAAUAUUGCACAAUGGGGGGAACCCUGAUGCAGCGACGCCGCGUGGGUGAGGAAGUACUUCGGUAUGUAAAGCCCUAUCAGCAGGGAAGAAAAUGACGGUACCUGACUAAGAAGCCCCGGCUAACUACGUGCCAGCAGCCGCGGUAAUACGUAGGGGGC
rnacentral:rRNA from 1 species